rnacentral:rRNA from 1 species
AAAUUGAAGAGUUUGAUCAUGGCUCAGAUUGAACGCUGGCGGCAGGCCUAACACAUGCAAGUCGAGCGGUAACACAGGGAGCUUGCUCCCGGGUGACGAGCGGCGGACGGGUGAGUAAUGUCUGGGAAACUGCCUGAUGGAGGGGGAUAACUACUGGAAACGGUAGCUAAUACCGCAUAACGUCGCAAGACCAAAGAGGGGGACCUUCGGGCCUCUUGCCAUCAGAUGUGCCCAGAUGGGAUUAGCUAGUAGGUGGGGUAACGGCCCACCUAGGCGACGAUCCCUAGCUGGUCUGAGAGGAUGACCAGCCACACUGGAACUGAGACACGGUCCAGACUCCUACGGGAGGCAGCAGUGGGGAAUAUUGCACAAUGGGCGCAAGCCUGAUGCAGCCAUGCCGCGUGUAUGAAGAAGGCCUUCGGGUUGUAAAGUACUUUCAGCGGGGAGGAAGGUGCUGAGGUUAAUAACCUCAGCAAUUGACGUUACCCGCAGAAGAAGCACCGGCUAACUCCGUGCCAGCAGCCGCGGUAAUACGGAGGGUGCAA